rnacentral:rRNA from 1 species
GACGAACGCUGGCGGCGUGCCUAAUACAUGCAAGUAGAACGCUGAAGACUUUAGCUUGCUAAAGUUGGAAGAGUUGCGAACGGGUGAGUAACGCGUAGGUAACCUGCCUACUAGCGGGGGGUAACUAUUGGAAACGAUAGCUAAUACCGCAUAACAGCAUUUAACCCAUGUUAGAUGCUUGAAAGGAGCAAUUGCUUCACUAGUAGAUGGACCUGCGUUGUAUUAGCUAGUUGGUGAGGUAACGGCUCACCAAGGCGACGAUACAUAGCCGACCUGAGAGGGUGAUCGGCCACACUGGGACUGAGACACGGCCCAGACUCCUACGGGAGGCAGCAGUAGGGAAUCUUCGGCAAUGGGGGCAACCCUGACCGAGCAACGCCGCGUGAGUGAAGAAGGUUUUCGGAUCGUAAAGCUCUGUUGUAAGAGAAGAACGUGUGUGAGAGUGGAAAGUUCACACAGUGACGGUA